CAGCCCUUCUCCUAUCCACAA
rnacentral:miRNA from 2 species